rnacentral:rRNA from 1 species
AACCAAGAAAUUUAGUCAUUCUUUUACGGUAAAAAGACAGUUAGGUUGAGAAAAGAAUCAUAAGACCUCUAAUACAGGAGUAAAAUCUAAAUAUCAGAAGUUACAUCAAACGUGAUUUAUUUAAAAUACUGAAUCUGUGACAACUUUGAGGGAAACUGGGAUUGGAUACCCCACUAUUUUUAGUAGUAAAUCAAUUUAAGUUUACCGGAGUACUACGAAUCAAAAAGUUUAAAACUCAAAGGGCUUGGCGGUGUUUUAGACCUCUCAGGGGAACCUGUCUCGUAAUCGACAAUCCACGUUAAACCUGACCCUUUGUAGCGAUCAGCCUGUAUACCGUCGUCGCCAGGUAACUUCUUAAAAUAUAGUAGUUAGCUUGAUAAUUUUAUUGAUUAGAACGUCAGAUCAAGGUGCAGCUAAUAAAAGGGAGAGGAUGGGUUACAAUUAUAUAUUUAUAAUUACGGAAAGUAUUUAGAAGGAAAUAGCUGGAAGGAGGACUUGGAAGUAAUUUUGGUUAUAUAGAUAAAAUGAAUAAGGCUCUGAAACGUGC